CCCUACAUGAGCAAGGCCAGGGGGACACAGCAGCAUGAACCAGUCCUUCAUUUUUCAACCAAUCCAGGGGUUGCUGUCUUUCUUUAGGAGGCAAAAUACUUUGAACUGUUUUUUGAAAAGCAAGGGCUCUAUGUUUUUUCCUUUAAUAUUUUUGUCCCAGCUGUCCCCUGCCUUAAUGGGUUUGCCCUGUUUUUGAAUUUAGCUGUUCCCCAAGCUUGAAGACUUACAGAGGUGUAUCCUACAGCAUGACCAGAGCAAACAAGGACUUCACAAAGAGCAUCCUUUCUAAAGACCCUGCAGGCUUCUUCACCUUUUAACUGGCGCUUAACUGUGAGAGCUUUGCACUCAUUUCAGCUUCCUAGAGCUUGUGACAAUCAGAGCAGCAGCAAGAUGUUGGCAGAUUUGCCUAUAGAUUUGGGAAGGGGCUUUGGACUCUGCUAGCAGACAGCAACCCAUGAGCAUAUAUCAGCCUCUGCUAGAAGAUGGGCAGCCCAGCAGGACCAUGAUCAUACCCAGAUCCAUCAGAGCAGAUCCUCUUCCUCCUGUUGGAGAAGAAGAAGCAGAGGCAAAGGGCAGUGAGAUGGAGAUCGGGGUGGAAGAAGGGAGGAAGCACUGCACAUGCAUUUGGAUCAGAGCUGUCAUAACAGGAGCAACCGUGCCAUGUUUUUAUUACACCAUUGAAGCAAGAUCACUUGAUCCCUCUGCCACAGCUUAGAUAGAUUUAAUUUCUUUGUUGCUCUGCUCUAUCUGAUAUUUCCUGUAAUGCUCAGAAGGAGAGUACUAGAGGUGCUUCUAUAGCAGUGUUGUUUAAUGACUUGGACUUAGUUCUAGCAAUAGCAAGUUGAAGUCUGCAUUUCUAAUUCUGAAAAAAAGUUGGCUGGAUUUUCAAAGGAUUCUCCAAAGUGACAGACCGAAGUUCCCAAUGUGCUUUUUUCUUUGUCUGUGUUUUACCUAAAUUCACCUUCAUCUUUUACAUUCUGUUUUCCACAAAUGGAGAUUUUAGGUCAGAAAGCUGCUUCCAAAUUUUCUUCAUAAAGUACAAAAAGCACCUGUAAAAUGGAAAACCCUUCAGUGAGCUUUGGACUGAACCCUGGCGACUGGCAUCUUGGAAGAACGAGGCUCUGCCUCGACCUGGUCAACCUAGUCUGUGUUGCCAGCACUACACUGUCUUACUCCUGACUCUUUCUAAAUACUGCUGAGGACCUCAGCCAAGGUGGGAGAGGCAGUCCCCUGGCUCUUCCCUGACACAAAAUACCUUUGUCACACAGUUUGAGCUACAUGUACCGAGAGCAAGGACACUCUGUGUCCAAAUACGUGGGUCUGUAGUAGCAUGGAACAGGACAAGGUUGCCAUGUGGGAGAACCUUCCCACUUGUGUGGGAGGCUGCCUGCCUUUUGAAUUGGGAAGUGCAGACUUCCUUAAGACAUAACUCCUGAAGGCCCCUUCCAGGUUCUCACAGGUGAGAUGUCUGUGCUAAAAUCUGUGGAUGCAUGCUCACUUAUUCCAAAUCUGUUUACUUGGUGAAUGCCACUCCAAAUAAUAGCUUAAACUGGCAAAAAGAAAAUGCUGUCAGUCUCUGAGGGAGAGCUUUUCACCUUGUGCAUGGCCUGCCCUGAGAUGCCUUCUUGCUUCUGGUCCUGCACUGUAUCUAUUACCAGAGCCAUAUGGUACAGAGCAGCACUGCAGGAGAAUGAGACUACUCUGCAGCUCAGUUUCCUGAGCCAUCACCUCUACUUAUGGAGACAUGGCUUGGCUUGCAAAGGAAAGUGUCUCCGUAAG